UACGGGGGGAGCAAGCGUUGUUCGGAUUUACUGGGCGUAAAGGGCGCGUAGGCGGCGCAACAAGUCACUUGUGAAAUCUCCGGGCUUAACCCGGAGCGGUCAAGUGAUACUGUCGUGCUAGAGUGCGGAAGGGGCUACUGGAAUUCUCGGUGUAGCGGUGAAAUGCGUAGAUAUCGAGAGGAACACCUGCGGCGAAGGCGGGUAGCUGGGCCGACACUGACGCUGAUGCGCGAAA
rnacentral:rRNA from 1 species